ensembl:snRNA U2 U2 spliceosomal RNA
AUCGCUUCUCGGCCUUUUGGCUAAGAUCAAGUGUAGUAUCUGUUCUUAUCAGUUUAAUAUCUGAUACGUCCUCUAUCCGAGGACUUAAAAAAAAAAAAAAAAGCCUAAAUCAAGACUAACAAAAU